UGUGCAAGGACAGUGUUUAAAAAGCUGCAACGUAAUCAACCAAACCUGAGCUACCGUGCAACAGUCUAAACUUUGUUCACUCUGUCCUGGGUUCUGCGGGAGUGCUGAAGUUUAUUAAUAUAACAAAUACCUUCAAUGUGGUCUUGUACUUCUGACAGCUGGUUUGCGACGCACAGAUAAUACCGCAUAGCUUUAAACAGUCUCUUCAUAACUUCGGGGACGACAUUUGUCCAAGUAACAAUCGGAAUUUUAAAAUGAUUGCAUGUACAUCGUGCCUCGUCCUUUUGGUGACAGGCGUUGAUGACAUUGGUGCUGCUGUCGUUGCCAUGCUGCAAGCUGCCAAACAUCUAGCCAGGUUCGGGUGAGACUUCAUCGUGAUCUUCGUCGCCUUUGAUUUUGAAGAAUGGGAGGAAAAUGGUCCCAGGUAGUGUGAGCAGCCAUAACUCUAACGGCAAAAAAGGGAGAUUGGUCGGCCCUACGACUCUGACGUCCUUGACGCCUUCGUCACUUCUUACACCACCUUGGGUCCACCUGAGUUCGAGAUUGAGAAGGUUUACAUCACCGUUCUCAGUGGCCCGACAGUAACACAGCAGCAAUGCAUGAUCUUCCAUGAACUAACGAGGAGUGAUCAUUAUCCUUUCUGAUUAAAUGGUUUGAGGGCAAUCUUCCUAACGGACACAGCCAACUUCCGAGGGUAUAUGCAAGCCUGCUACCAUCACUCCUGUGACACUUUUAGCCGAUUUUCAGACAAGAUGCUUCCGUUUUUCGGGAAGACUUCCCAAGCUCUGAUUGGUUCUGUCCACAUAUUGGCGCCAU